rnacentral:rRNA from 1 species
GACGAACGCUGGCGGCGUGCUUAACACAUGCAAGUCGAACGGUAAGGCCCUUCGGGGUACACGAGUGGCGAACGGGUGAGUAACACGUGGGUGAUCUGCCCUGCACUUCGGGAUAAGCCUGGGAAACUGGGUCUAAUACCGGAUAGGACUCCGGACUGCAUGGUCUGGGGUGGAAAGCUUUUGCGGUGUGGGAUGGGCCCGCGGCCUAUCAGCUUGUUGGUGGGGUGAUGGCCUACUAAGGCGACGACGGGUAGCCGGCCUGAGAGGGGGACCGGCCACACUGGGACUGAGAUACUGCCCAGACUCCUACGGGAGGCAGCAGUGGGGAAUAUUGCACAAUGGGCGCAAGCCUGAUGCAGCGACGCCGCGUGAGGGAUGACGGCCUUCGGGUUGUAAACCUCUUUCAGCAUCGACGAAGCGAAAGUGACGGUAGGUGCAGAAGAAGGACCGGCCAACUACGUGCCAGCCGCCGCAGUAA